AUACCAGCCAGGCAGGGGAGACACCGUGACCAGGAGGAUGUAUUUCCCAAAGUGAGGCUCAUCCUCUGCCCGUGGUGUGCACUGACCUUGGCAACCUCCCCGGUCCAGAGAACCAGACUGCACAGCUCGCUGCAGCCAAAGCUGCCUUUGUGCCCUCUCUGA
rnacentral:snRNA from 1 species